GACAGAGGGUGCAAGCGUUGUUCGGAAUUAUUGGGCGUAAAGGGCGCGUAGGUGGCUUUGUAAGUCAGAUGUGAAAUCCCAGGGCUCAACCCUGGAAGUGCAUCUGAUACUGCGAAGCUUGAAUCUCGGAGAGGACGGCGGAAUUCCCAGUGUAGAGGUGAAAUUCGUAGAUAUUGGGAGGAACACCGGUGGCGAAGGCGGCCGUCUGGACGAAGAUUAACACUGAGGCGCGAAAGCGUGGGGAGCAAACAGG
rnacentral:rRNA from 1 species